AAUUAUUGGAAGCAACAUGGAAGGACUUGGCUCGGGCUGAUCGGGUUCCACCAGUGCCACUAGUCAAAGAAAUGUUCCGCAUGCAGCUGGAAAGAGGGAACAUUGCUGCUGCCCUGACUUGUGUUACUGAUUAUCCUCCUGCUGAGUCUCAGGCAUUUUCUGCCAAGUUUUGGAUGAAGUUUUUUGAGGAAAAUUCUGAUCAAUUAUCAGACGGUACGCUUUUCAGAUUGCUACAAGAGGUGAGCCGGAUUGUUGCCAGAAAUGACAGCAAAAUACUCAACAAUCUAAUGGCUUCUUGUAAAGAAUUUUUGAGAACUCAAUCGACAAAAGUAGAUAGAGUUCAUAGUGAAACAGCUCUAGUUUGUUAA
rnacentral:misc_RNA from 1 species